CCUCCAGCGCGCCGCACCAUGACCCGCCGUCGCACCAUGCCCCCCCGCCGCGCGCCGCCACCCCAUGACCCGCCGUCUCACCAUGCCCCGCCGCCGCGCAGCGCCACCCCAUGACCCGCCAUCGCACCACGCCCCGCCGCCGCGCACUGCCACCCCAUGACCCGCCGCCGCACCAUACCCCGCCGCCGCGUGCAUCCACCCCCUGCCCCGCCGCCACGCGCAUCCACCUCCUGCCCCGCCGCCGUGCGCCACCACCCCCUGUCCCGCCGCCGCGCGCGCAGGAUUCUACCGGCCGGAGAAGCCGUGAGCCGGAUCCAGCCUCGCCCCUGAGCUCCGUCUUCUUCCCUGCCUCCCUUCCGCGAACCGGACGCCUCCUUCUGGGUGGUCCUGCACCGCUGCGUCUAGCGGUCCAACCUCGUCACCCGAGGCCGUUCACCGUAGCAGCGCCUCCCUCCGUCCGCGCCAUGGGCUCCCGUGCACGGCCCUUGCCGAAGCUGGCGCGCACAUCCCUGCCCCACCUUUUCUCCCUCUCUGUUCAUGCACUCCAUGGAUUCUUGUUGAGUGCACGUCAUGUGUUUGCUCAAAUGUCUAAGUGCACUGUAAUACUAGUUUUGAUGUGUUCACUGUUUAUUUGUAGCUACCUUGUGCUUGCUAAAUGUCACAGCUUACAAUACUUGGAGAAUUUUUCGUGUGUGAUCUGUACUUUAGGUGCUAAUCCGAGAAUUCGUGUCCUCAAGGAGUUCAUGUAUUACUACCAUAGGAGUUCGAACACUACACCAAGAAAAAGUUCACCACACAGUACAUUUUAGAAAAAGGACACUCUGGAAAGUUUACUGGAAAGAAUACUUAACAAGAGCCGCAUGUUUGUUUUACUGCCUAAAGGUGAUCUGCUGUGAAGUUAAGUGAGGCAAGGCUAGGACAAGUCUGACUGUUUUUGAGUGGGAAGUUCUGGGUUCUGACUUGCAUUUGAUGUAGGUGAGGGGCAACUACCCAAAAUUUCUUGAAUGAUUGGUUCUUCCAUUUCUCAGUUCUACAAUGAUGAUCUUCCCAAAAAGUUCCCAAUUUUUUUGAUCAAUUUCUCAGUCGGUUUCGUAGAUCCAAGAAUAAAUGAAUGCAAUGCUAAAGAUGUCACUGGCAUAGAAAAAUGUAGUACGUGGUUCUUCCUGGAAUGUAGAUAGCUUUCUUUGUCCUCAUUAAAGAAAUAUAGCCUGUAUUAUUGCUAAAAAUGUCCACAUUAGUUCAGACUCAAAAAGACCAUAAAGUUCAGAGGAAGAUAAAAUUAGCAAGAGAACAAAAAAACAAGGUGGCUCACCACAGAAACCCGGGAAAACCGAGGUCUCGUUUUCUUUUUUGCUCUAGUUUAUUCUACUUUGGCAUUUGGUGGAUGAUAUUUAUUUCAUCCUUCAUCACUGAUCUUGAGAAGGAGAUUGAUCCGUGCAUUUCUACUUUCAGUGUGUAAAUCUAUUGAUUUUUAGUGGUUAGGAAUUUUGGGAGAGUAGAAACCUGGAAGAGCACUUUCAACCGUCCAGGAAGACAACAACGACAACCAGUAUGAUGGAUGUGGGAGUUAUUUUGACAUUUCAUCGUACAGUUCUUCUCUUUGUGUAGUGUUGUGUGUUUUCAAGUGCUUGAUGAAAAUUGAUGUUCCAAGUAGUUCAUGUAUUAUUGGCUGAGGAGUUCAUGUACUGCCUAGUAAGUAAACCUGUUCAACGAUGUAAAGCCACGCAAGUUCGAAAGGAUUCACAUCAGUACAAACUCGAGAGGGCAUGUAUUACCGUCCAGAGUACAAACUUUUAGCUUACCAAGAAGUUCAUGUAUUACCAUUUAGAGGAGUUCAUGUAUUACUAUCCAGGAAGUAUAACUAUUGGUAUAGAAAAUGUUCAAUAUUUGUUCGAAAGCUACCUGCAAAAGAGAAGCCCUUCUUACAUCCACAACAUCUUAAUUUUUAUUCAGUUUAAUUUCCAAUUUUAGUGCAUUUCAUUCUUGUUUUUAGUUCAGUCAGUUUCUUAUUUUAUUUUCCUUCAAUUUCUAAUUCUUUUUCAGUUUAGUUUCUAAUUUUACUAAAGUUCAAUUUCUAAUUCCAAACAGUUUGUGUAAAUUCCCAUCGAGCAGGUGUGCACGGCGAGCAGCUACUGAACUUGUGCUGGUGCUGCUUUUGGAUUGCCCAGGAAGCACAUGAUUAUAGAAGGCAAAAUCUGUAACCUAUAUAAUUCAUGUUUGUUCUGACACUUAAGCAAUUUUUAUGUUCUGACACUUUAGCCAUGGCGAUUCUACACCCCAUGACCCGCCUCCUACCAGGGAGCAGCCAGGGCCUCAUGUACAAAAGGGCUCCGUCUCUUCUCAACCCAGAGCUAGCUAGGGAAGACGAAGCACAACAAUACCUGGCAGUGAGUUAUAAUCCAUCCACAAGCAGCAGCAGCAAAAGUGUGUGUAGGUUGAUCAGACUGUACAUACACACACACCCUUAUAUGUCGGAGGAUCCACGGAGCGCGAUGGAGGGGAGGGCGAGGCGACGCGCCAGCCCGUCCAGGAUGCGCACCAAGGCUGUCAGGGUGGAGCCGGAGCCACCACCGACCAGGAGGCACGAGCCAGGGACGAGGGCGGCGGUGGUGUACUACCUUUGCCGCAACCACCACCUGGAGCACCCACACUUCAUGGAGGUGACCCUCGCCUCCCCGCAAGGCCUCUACCUGCGAGAUGUGUUUGACCGGCUGGACGCCCUGAGAGGGAAGGGAAUGGCAGCCAAGUAUUCCUAGUCCUGCAAGAGGAGCUACAAGACUGGAUUCGUGUGGCACAAUCUUUCUGCGGAUGAUCUACUGCUGCCCACGCAAGGAACAGAGUACGUUCUCAAGGGCUCCGAGCUCCCAUUCGACCAGUCAAAGCCAAUGCCAAUGCCAGAUCAUCAGCGGAAAGGAUGUCAACAUAGUAUACUCCCAUGGUUGCCGCAGAUUAGAAAGUUCAUGAAAAAUAAAUAUAGAAGUUCAGAGAAGAGCGUCGGAAAAAGAUUUGGGAAAAGACACACACCAAAAAAACAUGGGAAAGGCCUGGGGAUGUUUUUUCAUUUGACAUACUUCAAGUAUUUUGUGGGUUACGUCCAACGACAACGAGCAGGCGGCAAGUGUAUUGAUGAGCAAUGGGACGGUGGCAUGGAGCAGUUGAGUAGGUGUGCGUAGUUCAAGUUCACCAGUAUUUGUAAAUGCUGGUAGCAGUACUAGUAUUUACAAAUUUGUAACCUAAGAACUAAGCUUGCAUCUCGUUACUUCUAUGGAAGCACUGACCUCGUAAUUUUAUUGGACCAACCACUAACUUGAGAAUUAGACAUGGUGCUCAGUGUAUUCUCUCAAUCUUGGUUGUUCUUGCAGUGCUUAUAAGCUUGACAUCUUUGAUGAAUCCAGCCUGAACUGAAGCCUGUCGGUGAGCCGGGCGCUGGGCCAACCACUGUCGUCUAUCUACCUCCUUCCCCGGUGAGCUCAUGCUCUUCUGCUCUUGACGCUUGAACUGCCUGCAAUUCUUUUCUCUGUUUGAAAAUUCCCAAAGCAUCAGUACUUUGUAUCAGGAUACACCAUGUUAUUUCUGCAAAUUUCCAUUAUGCUUGUAUGUCCAAAAUGUGUGCAUUUACUACUUUUGAUUUGUUGUAGUGCAGAGAAGUUACCCUGUUGCGGGCUGACCUGGAGGCGGCUCCUCCAUGUUGACACAAUUGCAGGACCAACGUGCUACUGACCACGCAAGCUUCCUCAAGGAGCUCGUGCCCAACGAUACUAAAAGGAAAAACUGCUCCAGUUUUGAACUACUUAUUCAGUCAUGCUAUUACGGAGUGAAAAAUGGAGUGAAAGUGUAUUGCAAUUGAUCUCUCUUAGACCCUGUCAAUCCUCUAUCUAUCCUUUCUUUGCUUGUUUUUUGGUCUGUAAUUCAAAAACUUUGACCUUCGUAAUUCAAUUUUUGGUUAA